rnacentral:rRNA from 1 species
UACGGAGGGUGCAAGCGUUGUCCGGAUUUAUUGGGUUUAAAGGGUGCGUAGGCGGCCCUGUAAGUGCGUGGUGAAAGCCUGUAGCUUAACUACAGAACUGCCUUCGAUACUGAAGAGCUCGAGUCCGGGAGAGGUGAGUGGAACUGCGAGUGUAGAGGUGAAAUUCGUAGAUAUUCGGAAGAACACCAGUGGCGAAGGCGGCCCGCUGGACAAGUAUUGACGCUGAGGUGCGAAAGCGUGGGGAGCAAACAGG